GAAAUGCGAUAAGUAAUGCGAAUUGCAGAAUCCGUGAGUCAUCGAAUCUUUGAACGCACAUUGCGCCCUUUGGUAUUCCGAAGGGCAUGCCUGUUCGAGCGUCAUUAUCACCCCUCAAGCCCCGGCUUGGUGUUGGGCUCUCGGUGGUCGGGGACGACCACCUGCCUCAAAGUUAGUGACGGCGUCCCAGAGGGAACCGGUACGAGGAGCUUUCACGAGCAUGUACGCGGGACGACUCUGCGGGCGACGGUCUUUUUUAAACUUCAUACAAGUGUUGACCUCGGAUCAGGUAGGAAUACCCGCUGAACUUAA
rnacentral:misc_RNA from 1 species